CACGUAGGGCGCAAGCGUUGUCCGGAAUUAUUGGGCGUAAAGAGCUCGUAGGCGGUCUGUUACGUCUGCUGUGAAAACCCUGGGCUUAACCCUGGGCUUGCAGUGGAUACGGGCAGACUAGAGGCAGGUAGGGGAGAAUGGAAUUCCCGGUGUAGCGGUGAAAUGCGCAGAUAUCGGGAGGAACACCGGUGGCGAAGUCGGUUCUCUGGGCCUGACCUGACGCUGAGGAGCGAAAGCGUGGGGAGCGAACAGG
rnacentral:rRNA from 1 species